rnacentral:misc_RNA from 1 species
UCUCCGUAGGUGAACCUGCGGAGGGAUCAUUACUGCGUGAGGGUCUCCGGGCCCGACCUCCAACCCUUUGUGAACCAAACUUGUUGCUUCGGGGGCGACCCUGCCGUCCGCGGCUGAGCGCCCCCGGGGUCAAUCAAACACUGCAUUCUCUGCGUCGGAGUAUCAAUCAAAUUGAACAAAACUUUCAACAACGGAUCUCUUGGUUCUGGCAUCGAUGAAGAACGCAGC